rnacentral:lncRNA from 1 species
UGGUCUAGCAUGCAAAUUUGUUCUAGGAUAGCUAUUUCUAGGAUACACAUUUUUGUUGUUGUUCCUAGGUUGAGCUCUAGGUUGUUGAGGUUUAGCAUCAACCUUUUCUUCAUUUUUAAAACCUAUUCCAUGCUUAGUUGAUUUUAAGUUAUCAAGUACAACAUUCAAGUUUUUAUGCGAGGAAUUAAACUUAUCUAGUGUGCCUUUAAGUCUACCUACUUCAUUCUUAAGGUUCACACAAGAAGUACAACUUUUAGUAGAAUUUUCAGGUUUGUCGGCACUUCUCUUUCCAUAAAACUUGUUUUCUUCUUGUAGCUUCUCAUUUUCCAAAACCAGUUUUUUUAAUUCCUUUUCUUUUAAAGAAAUCUGUUUUGAAAAUCCGUGUCUUUUAGAGAAGCGUUUUCUCUUAAGCUAGUGACAGUUUUUGAAGCCUUUAAAAAUUCAGUAUAUAACUCAUCAAAAGCGUUACGCAUUUCAUCAAGUGAAAAGUUUUCAGACAAAAUUUGACGUACCUCGUUUUGGUUGUCUUCUUGUGCCAUGAGACAAAGGUUUGCAGCUUCGUCGUUUUCUUCUUCACU